GAUGAAGAACGUAGCGAAAUGCGAUAAGUAAUGUGAAUUGCAGAAUUCAGUGAAUCAUCGAAUCUUUGAACGCACCUUGCGCCCUUUGGCUAUUCUGAAGGGCAUGCCUGUUUGAGUAUCGUGAACACCUCAACUCUCAUGGUCUGCCAUGAUGAGCUUGGACUUUGGGGGUCUUGCUGGCCUACUGUCAGCUCCUCUCAAAUGAAUCAGCUUACCAGUGUUUGGUGGCACCACAGGUGUAAUAACUAUCUACGCUUGUGGUUUUCUGCCAGGUAACCUCCAGUGAUGGAGGUUCGCUGGAGCUCACAAAUGUCUCUCCUCAGCGAGGACAGCUUUUUGAACGUUUGAUCUCAAAUCAGGUAGGACUACCCGCUGAACUUAAGCAUAUCAAUAAGCGGAGGA
rnacentral:misc_RNA from 1 species